rnacentral:rRNA from 1 species
GCUUUCGGGUGUCGCUGAUGGAUGGACCCGCGGUGCAUUAGCUAGUUGGUGAGGUAACGGCUCACCAAGGCCACGAUGCAUAGCCGACCUGAGAGGGUGAUCGGCCACAUUGGGACUGAGACACGGCCCAAACUCCUACGGGAGGCAGCAGUAGGGAAUCUUCGGCAAUGGACGAAAGUCUGACCGAGCAACGCCGCGUGAGUGAAGAAGGUUUUCGGAUCGUAAAACUCUGUUGUUAGAGAAGAACAAGGAUGAGAGUAACUGUUCAUCCCUUGACGGUAUCUAACCAGAAAGCCACGGCUAACUACGUGCCAGCAGCCGCGGUAAUACGUAGGUGGCAAGCGUUGUCCGGAUUUAUUGGGCGUAAAGCGAGCGCAGGCGGUUUCUUAAGUCUGAUGUGAAAGCCCCCGGCUCAACCGGGGAGGGUCAUUGGAAACUGGGAGACUUGAGUGCAGAAGAGGAGAGUGGAAUUCCAUGUGUAGCGGUGAAAUGCGUAGAUAUAUGGAGGAACACCAGUGGCGAAGGCGGCUCUCUGGUCUGUAACUGACGCUGAGGCUCGAAAGCGUGGGGAGCAAACAGGAUUAGAUACCCUGGUAGUCCACGCCGUAAACGAUGAGUGCUAAGUGUUGGAGGGUUUCCGCCCUUCAGUGCUGCAGCUAACGCAUUAAGCACUCCGCCUGGGGAGUACGACCGCAAGGUUGAAACUCAAAGGAAUUGACGGGGGCCCGCACAAGCGGUGGAGCAUGUGGUUUAAUUCGAAGCAACGCGAAGAACCUUACCAGGUCUUGACAUCCUUUGACCACUCUAGAGAUAGAGCUUCCCCUUCGGGGGCAAAGUGACAGGUGGUGCAUGGUUGUCGUCAGCUCGUGUCGUGAGAUGUUGGGUUAAGUCCCGCAACGAGCGCAACCCUUAUUGUUAGUUGCCAUCAUUCAGUUGGGCACUCUAGCAAGACUGCCGGUGACAAACCGGAGGAAGGUGGGGAUGACGUCAAAUCAUCAUGCCCCUUAUGACCUGGGCUACACACGUGCU